rnacentral:rRNA from 1 species
GACGUAGGCGCGAGCGUUGUCCGGAUUUAUUGGGCGUAAAGAGCUCGUAGGCGGUUUGUCGCGUCUGCCGUGAAAGCCCGGGGCUCAACCCCGGGUCGGCCGUGCGGACUGUUCGACUGGAGCACUGUAGAGGCAGGUGGAAUUCCGGGUGUAGCGGUGGAAUGCGUAGAGAUCCGGAAGAACACCGGUGGCGAAGGCGGCCUGCUGGGCAGUUGCUGACGCUGAGGCGCGACAGCGUGGGGAGCAAACAGG